UGGGCCUAGUGAAAAACAGCGGUUCCUAUUCGUAUACCGAAAGCUGCGCACAAAGAGAAAGAGGGAAAAACUUGCGAACUAAAACCCUAAUCAGAAACAACAAAAUUAUUGUCGACGGUGGUGUCGUAGAGUUGUGCAUCGCCGGUCGUGUGCAGAGCUGCGCCGUGUGUUACUGUAGUUGUAUUCUAUAUUUGCUUCAGUCGGUGGGUGUCGUAUUGCAGUGCCGCGUUGGUGGUCGUGUUGCAGAGUCGGCACUCGGCCAUCAUUAUGUAGAGUGUAUUGUCGCUGUAAGUGUUGUUGAACCGUUAUUGUCUUGCUGUAAGUGUUGUUGAAUUGUGACCGUCUUGCUGUGAGUGUUGCUGAUCUUCCUUCUUACUCCGUUGUCGUGUUGCUACCAUUGCAUUUCCGCCCUCGUAUUGCUGUGUAUUAUUGUCUACUUUUUCUAGACUUAUUAGGUUCAUUCAUGGAUGAGAAAUCAUGACUCAUUGAUUACAAAGACUUAUUAAGUGCAUUCAAUAUAGGGAACAUUAUGAUAAGCACAUCAUAGUUCAUUUUUCAAAUGUUGAUUAUGAAAACAAUGAACAUCAGGUAAGAAGCAUCUCUUUGAUGGAUGAGCUUAGUUAUUGUUGAGGUUCUUGAAUUUGUUGCUUGCAGAAUGGAGGAUUGGGAGUGGGUUUGUUAAGCUAUUGGUGUUAAUGUUAGAAUACCUCUUGGCUUGUAAGCUCAGGUAUCAAUGAAGAUAAAAGAGGACGACAAUGUUAAGUGACGAAUUUUAAGAGGACGGCCGCGCAAGUAAUGAACAUCGAGAGAAUGACGUAGGAGAUGAACAUCGAGAAUGAUCUAGGUGAUGAACAUCAAGAGGACGACACGUGUGUUGCAGAGGAUGAUGGAGAUUACGAUGAGUUCGACAAAUUUAUAUGAAUUGGAUGAUGUUGUUUUAGGAUUGUGCUUACGCAUUAAAUUUAAAGAAACCAUAUAUUUUGUCAUUUUGCUAGACUUAUAAUCUCUAAGUAUUUAACUUAUAUUAUAAAGUAGUGUUAGACAUUUUGUGUCUAUUUGUGUGUAUUCGAGCUAAUGUUUGGGGAUUUUAUCAAUACAACUUUUAUGAUACAUGCAAUUUAUAUUUGGUGCGAUUCUCCUUUGAAUUG